UUAGGCAUCCGAGUGCGGAGCGCCGCACCCCUCUCCCCGCCCCUCUGGAAGCUACGAUUGGCCACUGGCGGGGCUCGGGUGGCCCCUUGGUAGGUGGCCGCUUUCCUCCAACGGAUUUGAAGCCUUCCGACCCCCACACCUUGGACGUCCAAAGGUGGGUGUUCUCAGACCCUCCAAGAAUUUUGAAGGACGCUGCCCACUGGACUGUUCAGGUUUAACUGGUCGACAGUGACCGCACAUUAGGCCACCAUAAAGCUUCUGCCAGCGAUGGACUCAAAAGCAUUGCCAAACUCCCGACAAGGUUGUUACCUACAGGAAGAAAUUGAAUUGCCAUAUUUGGGAGCAGUCUGGGAGCUGAGGACCAAAGGGGCCUUAGAGCAGUGGGGGUGGUGAAGGCCUGCAAAGCUCACCCAACCCUGAGAGCUUGGGCUUGGAAGGAGAAAGAGAGCAGAAAGUCCCCUGUGAGCUGCCUUUCUCAUCAGACCCUAAUCAGUAAAGAUAGCUGGCUCCUGCUAGGAGCCAGGCAAAGCUACAGACGUUCCCUCCUUUAGUCCAGACCGUAACCCACUGGAGGUACCAACGGCUGCUAUCUGCAUGCCACAGGGGAGGAAACUGAGGCCCAGGAAAAGUAAGUUGUCCUAGGUUAUAAAAUGAGUGGUAAAGACUGGAACCCAGGUCUGACUGAUCCCAGCCCACGGGCUUAUCUCCUUUGCCGUGAUAACCAUAAUAAUAAACGUUAACUCCCCUGAGCACUUAAUGUCUGCCAAAGCGUCGAGCGGAAUGUUUUCAAUGUUUUCGUAAUGCUUUGUUUAAUCUCCACAACAACCCUAUGAGGAAGGUACCGUUAUUAUCACACUACCUUACAUUUACAUCACGUAGGGGCCACUUUUAGGCAACAGACUUGAGCAAUGGAAACUUGAACAAGGCAGGGCCCACAGCCACCACCUGAGCUGAAUUAAGCCACCCACCUGCAGACCUCCGUAGGCCCUAACUGACCAAUAGGCCACUUACAACCGGUCACAGUUACCAAAAAAGGGACACUUGCGAACUUUCCCAUAACUCCUCACUCUGCCCUUUAACUACAGCCCCCACCCACCGCUGCUUCCCGGCAGACAGUCUCUGCUUUGCUAUCCUGCCCGCUGCUCCCUCGCGGUGUAUUCGAUAAACUUCUAUCUCCUUUGCUCUUCCGUGGGUGAAUUCUUUCACCACGCGUGCCCCAGGCCUCCACCCAAUCAGGUCGCCCCAGGUACAGUACCUUGUUAAUACCAUAGUACUCUGUUUCAUCCUCCCCACAACUCUCUGAGGCUUUGCAACGAGCAGAGGGAGGAGGAACUGAAAGUCCCUGCAUCACCUCAGGGAAUGUACAUUUGUUCCAAACAGACUACUUUUUGCCUUACAUGGGCAUAGGCGACACCCAGGUAAGGCUGUAACCUCUGUAGUGCUCGGCCAAUGAGGAACCAGGGGAGGGACCUGCGUGCUGGGAGAUAAAUUGUCUGCUGUGACUGCCCCAGUGUGCCUGUCCAUCAGACACCCGCUCUUGCAAGAACAUUGAUUAAAGCCUUGCUUUCCUGUGCUCCGAGUCUCCGCAUCCCUCCUUUGACUGGGUCGGCAGGGUGAUUUCUCACAGGUGUUUCAGACCACCUCUUCCCAAGGAUUUCAUCUGAGACAAGCUGAAGAACGGUGAAAAUUCCUGAUGCCCUCCAACCACUACAGCCGACGCCAUCCUUUCAACCGUCUGCCUUAUACAUUAUACUACAGCUCCCUGCAAUCCCAUGAUUCCUGCACACUGUGGGGACAGAGCUCAUGCACGUCCUGUAUCCGUGUUACAAGAGACUCCUCUACGCGCUGCCCUGGCCUCAGCCUGUGCACAUCAGCCAGGAGUGUUUGCUGUAUCGAGAGAGACAGAUUGGUCCCGUUUAAUCUAAUAAACGGAGAAGGAGCUAACAGUCACCAGGCCCUGGACUGGAACAGGGGAUACAGAGGUGAAGAGCUCAGUUUGUGUCCUUGUGGAACUCACCACCCAGAUUUGGCCCAUUGCCCUGGUCUAUGGAUCUCUCUUGGGAUUUGAUCCUGGACCCGUCCACUACCUGGCCCAGGAUCAGUACCCACGGAUCCUCCCAGCGUCCCAGGCAAGUUGGCAGUCAGCGUCUCGCACUGUGUCAGUGGGCACUCACCAUUCCCAGGGUCUCUAAUUUAUGUUUCCUUUUCAUUUCAUCUCCCUUUUGAAUAUGAGCUCCUACAAUCUCUACACUGCUUCCAAGCAGGAAUUAUGUGUCUUGAGGAAUAAUGAACCAAGAUUCGGGAGAUGUGGGUGCUAGCUUCAGCGCCGCCGCACUGUUGUCCUUUUUUUUUUUUUUUUCCAAAAAAAAUCACUUCAUGAACGUCAUUCCCCCUCUUUGUGGUCUUGAUAUUCCCAUACGUAAAAGAGAGGGGGACAAUGCCUGCUCUGCUUUCCUCACAGAGUUGUUACAAGAAUCAGAUAAUGAUGUAUCUAAACAUGCCAUGGGACAAUCUAAAACCCUUUUGAAAUGGAAGGUAGUACUCCAGAACAGCCAGAGCCAGAUGACAGGAGUCAGGGAGAGUCUGUGCCAUGUGGGAGACUGCUAGGGAGUCUCCAAAACCAUCAUUCCCACCCCCCCCACCCCAUUCACUGCACCCAGUAAGGCAUCUUGGCCUCCCCCCCGCCCCCCGCACCAACCCCCGCAAGUUUUCAUGUCAAGCGUGGAGACCCCUCCUCAGAGAAGACAUCCCAAAAAAUCCCUCUGUGCUCGGUGGCAAGAGGGCAGUCUUCAUAAGAAGGGAGACUUUUAAAGUGCUGUUACAGCCAGUUUAACCUGUGGCCUUAUCAUAGCACAUGUUGAAGUUUCUCAAAAAUUGUCAAAGAAGAUUGCAUUCGUCACAGCAACGAACCCUUAGAAUCUUCUUUUCAUAUGUUCCUCAAGAGCUCAAAUAAAUGAU